GUUCAUUAUGCACUCCGGCAAAUCAUAAAACAGACGGGGGGAAAAAGAGAUUCGAGACGAAUUUUCACAUCUGGAGUAGUGUUCUUCGAAAUGUGUGAGGAUGUGAGGAUGAGAAUGAAAAUUUUAUAUGGUUUAAGUUAGCGAACGACGAGGUUAGGAAUCAAUUUUACGAUAUAAGGUUGUUAAUACAUUGUAAUGAAUUCUAUGGAAAAUCUAUGGAAAAUAUGGAAAAUACGAUAAUUUUUAUAAUAAUAUAAAGUAAUAUGUUUGAUUAUUGUCAACUUUUUUCUCUUUAACGUCAAAUAAUUAUAAAAAUAAAAAAGGCAGCAAUGUCCAAGCCCGGUCUGAACACGACGAAGGAAUGGUGGAGAACCCACACGCGUGAGUGGAUUUUUCCAAUCGAUAUGAUUUAAAUGGCGUUUUAAGAAAGCUGAAGACCACGGGGGAAAAACGGACGAGCCGGUGUUCGACUCAAAUUGUAAUUUAUACGGCUAUUACCGUGCCGCACGUUCGCCAUUAUAAAUUGUCGCGCUGUAUCUGCCGGCGUUCUUAUUUAUAGUUCCGUAAAUAAAUACCCGAGAUAAUGUGCCGCGGCCGGCCAGUGUAUUUGCGAUUCUAAUAAGUGUACAUUUAACGCGAUGUAUUCGGGUAAACCGCGAAUGACGCAUUGCGAGGGUAAUUAAGCAAUUACAAUGUUGGGAUAUAAUGUUGUUGUCGUUCGAGGAAGAAUGAAUGUUUGCAUACCCUCCUGGAAUUGUAAUAACUCGUAAAGAAGAUCUUUCUUUUAAAAUGUAAGUUUGUAAAUAUUUUAUAUUUUAUCAAAUAUACAUAUCAUUAAUCGUCAAUAAGUGUUUUUUUUAAACUUGAAAGAAGAAAAUUUCACAAAUUUAUGUAUUAUGUCAUCCGACAUGUAACAUGUUUGUCCGUCGAAUCGUCAAGAUGUACGUGUAUGUAUAUCUGGUCAUUUCGCAGAGCGUAUUAACACUGGCAAUUCAACAGUGUAGUAAUUAAACGGCAAAAUGAACAGAGAGAGUGAAACGAGUGCGGAAUACUCGGCAACAGAGUGGUUUCAUUGCGAGAGCGCGUGUCCUUUUUUUUUCUUUUUUUUUUUUCAGUAAAAAGGAGUGUAUCCUCUCAUUCCAAUUUGAAAAUCCACCCGUGGUGGUUGUCCACGUGUCUGUUCCAACUGAUUCAUACGCGCGCAUUUGCAUUACGGACGCGUCCCCGUCGAGCGACACGACACGUUAUUCGAAACGUGUUGCAUUAUUCUAAUCAAGAUCCCUAAUACCGACACUAGUUUUUGCUUUUAUUCGCACGUGGGCAAUGCGGCUCGUUUGUACUCGUAAUGAGCCCGAUUGGGUGUUAUACGUCGCCAUGUUUAAUUCUACGGACGGUUUCGAACGAUCUUUUCAUUCGAACAAAUCUCUUCUCUUUCUCGAUCAAAAUUAUUAUCUCAUUAUUAUCUCAUCGAAUUAUUAUUAUUGUAAAAAUUAAUAAACUUAUCUUCAAUCGGUAUAUCCGUUUAAAAAUACAAUUGUUAUAAUUGAAUAAUUACAAUUAAUUAAUAAUUGGUCGUUACUUUUUUAUAAAAUAUAUUUCACGAUAAAAUUAUAUAUAAAAAAUAUAUGAUCUAGUUAAAAAGUCAAAAUUGACUCAUAGACUUUCUAAAUCGAAACAAUUCGCAAGUUGGAACAAGUUGGAUAAUUUACGACACACCUAUCAAACGCGUAUGAUUAAGAAGAUCGAAUUCGCUACUUGCUAAAGUGCUUCUGUCUAACAUUAUACGAAACAGCAUCAAUUCCCUCUUUCGAACUGUUCCUGAACAUCGUAGAUCCAUUAAUCACCACUUAGAAGUCAUUUUUCAAUACGCAUCGAUCAAUUUAUUGAUAGCAACAAGAUCGAUACGCGAUCGCCGCCUUCGAUAAGUCUCGUCGACAAGGGCGAGGAACUCUGAUUUAGUGGCGACCCUAUAGGAUGGUGAUCGAGGAGGAACAGAGCAAAGGAAUGGACGAAGAGAGAAGAAGCGUCGAACGUGGCAAGAGCAACGGGAAAAAUAGGAAAGCGCAGAAGGCGGCGGCAGCAGCUGAAGAAGGAGGAAGUCGAGACACGCGUGUAACAAGCGUCGUUGGCAUUAAUUUAGAAUGAGCUCUACGACCCUAUGCAAAUCUCUCGUGUACAGGAAAUCCUAAGAAGCCGACCAGACUAUGAAACGUCGCCUCUCUCUCUGCUCAUCCACACCGUUUUCUUCCAACCGCGGCAUGUUUGAAAUUACCAUCAACCAGCAUACGACUUAUUCCUCGGUCUCCGAUAACACGUUACUCUUCCUUCUUUUAAGUUAUGACACCUGAACUCUUGCCAACGUUUAAUAUCCCGCAUCUUGCGAUAUCAACACUUCCGUUUUUAGCUAAGAUAACUUAUGGCUAUGAUGAAUCGAAUUAUUCGCCGCUACUUCUAUAAGCGUGUUCAGUAAUCAACGAUUUUGCUGUAAACAUUGUCGAUAAAGAUAAAUUAAUUGAACAAAAAAAAAAAAAAAAAGAAGAAUUGCUGGUGUGAAGAAGAUGAAAAGUUAACGAGGAAAAAUUAGUAAUUUCAUGGCGCUAUCGAGUUAUUAUAAUGAUCAGGUAUAAUUCAAGAUUAUAUCUUAUGCAUGAUGUAACAUGUUUGAAAUGUUAAAUUUAUGUCAAAUUUGCUGUUUAUAUGAAAUUCAUAUGAGGUAUGCGUAGAAUUUAAUUAGAUUAUUAUGCAGUUAUUCCAAGUAAAAAAAGUAUCAUUUGUUCUAUUUAUAUCACAAUAUUGAAAGAAAAAUUUAAUAAAAAAUAUGUUUCUACUUACUCGGACGAAGACAAUUUUCGUUUGCGCUCUCCUGUAUUGAAGUUUUCUAAAGAAGCUUGAUAAUCGGCAUACCUUUGUAAUUUAUAGGUACUCGUUUUAGCUAAAACUUUCAUCACUUCGUUGACUUGAUCCCGACGAUGUAAUUCUAUGUAUGCGGAUAUAUCACUUAACCAUGACACAUGCACACUUCCUGUAACAUAAAUGAUUUUAAUUCUAUUAAUAUUGUAUUUGUAUAAAUAAAGAUAUAAUUAUCAAAUAAA